GGUUAAAGUUUUGCAUAUUGAAUUUUCCCUGGAUUUAUAGAAUUUUCAUUUUUUGGUUACCAAUUUGCUAAGUAGUAUUACUUUAACACCUAAGCAUAUGCCUAAUGCUCUGCUGUUCUAUGUUUUCCCCCUUAGGACAUUUUCAAGUUAAAACAAAGUUUCUCCACAUAUCCUUGCUAUUUGAUUAUUCUCUUCUUGCAUAGCAUCUCAGUAUAAUGGAAUCCCUGGAAAAAGAAAAAGGAGAUUCAUAUGAAUCAAAAGGAAUUGGGAAAGGAAAGAUGUCAUUGAAAUAAAUUUUACUUCCAGUAAAAAUUGUGUCAACACUUCUGAAGAUCUUUGGAAAGAGUCCAAUGAUUAAAAAAAAUAGAAAGAAGAGAAAUGGAGAUAUUGGACUUUGGUUAAGCCAUGAGGGAAAUUCUAAGACUGAUGCUUCCUGAUGAAUUCUGGGAUCAUGUUGUCUAGGAAUACAAAAUAUCUUUUCCUGUAAUGACUAUAAGGAAAGUAUUCCACCCUACCACCUCUAAUUAAGAUGAUGCCUUCUCCAGGACAAAGAGGGAAGGGAGGAACUAACAGGAUAUCUUAAUGCAUACAAAAGAACAACUACAUAAAUUUAAAUUAAAAAAGGAAAAAAAUUGAAGGGAAAAUAUGCUUGAGUUUAUCUUCAAGGAAGAGGUGGACUCUGUAGAUGCCUUGAAAGAUCAUCCUUCAUACCCCAAAGAGAUUAUAAGGAGAAAGACAUGUACAAGAAUAUUCAUAGCUGCGUUCUUUGUGGUGGCAAA
rnacentral:lncRNA from 1 species